ACAAAUGCAACAGAAUAGAUUAACAAAGAGUCAUUCAUUUAUUCCUUUUCAAGAUUAUUUUAGGGAUUAAUUUCACCAAUAUAUAUAUAUAUAUUAUUAUUGUUUACUCACACCAUGAUGAAUUAGUAUAUCUUCAAAGGUAGUUUGAGUAACUACCAACCCAUUAUCCCUCUCCCGCUCCUUAUGGCUUGCCUUGCUCCGCCCCUGCCUCGAGCACCAGGGCACUAGGCUGUCCGACAGCCAGAAGUGAGACAACGGCGCCUUGGUCCAUCCAAAGGGGACCAAUCAUUUGUCAGGGUGACGGUCCCGUCCCCAGU
ensembl:lncRNA